rnacentral:rRNA from 1 species
UAGAGUUUGAUCCUGGCUCAGGACGAACGCUGGCGGCGUGCCUAACACAUGCAAGUCGAGCGAAGUAUAUCUAAGUGAAGUUUUCGGACAGAACGAAGAUAUAUCUUAGCGGCGGACGGGUGAGUAACGCGUGAGCAACCUGCCUUUCACAAAGGGAUAGCCUUGGGAAACUGGGAUUAAUACCAUAUAAAACUUACCUUUCGCAUGAAAGGAAAGUCAAAGCGAUAAGCGGUGAAAGAUGGGCUCGCGUCCUAUUAGCUAGUUGGUGAGGUAACGGCUCACCAAGGCGACGAUAGGUAGCCGGCCUGAGAGGGUGAACGGCCACACUGGAACUGAGACACGGUCCAGACUCCUACGGGAGGCAGCAGUGGGGGAUAUUGCACAAUGGAGGAAACUCUGAUGCAGCGACGCCGCGUGAGUGAAGAAGGCCUUCGGGUCGUAAAGCUCUGUCCUAGGGGAAGAUAAUGACGGUACCCUAGGAGGAAGCCCCGGCUAACUACGUGCCAGCCGCCGCGGUAAUUCA